rnacentral:lncRNA from 1 species
CCCCGCCAUUGUCGCCGCGCACUUCGGGGCCGGCCACAAAGGCGCCAGAAAGCCCCGCCGCGCUCGGAGGAAUGCAGACAUGUUCGCAGCGCUCAGAAGAAAAGUGAUCCUGAACUGAUGAAGCAGAUGAAUUAGGGGUGAUUAUUCUCGUCACAAAAGGAUGCGCUAC